rnacentral:lncRNA from 10 species
CUCAUUUGGUGAGAUCAGAAUGUGCCUGAAUAACUCUGAAGGUUAAAAUAUGUUGACUGAAUUUUCUGCUGCCACCAUUCAGCAGCAGCUAGGCUAUGCCUCUCAUGAUCAUGACACGUAGUGGAAAUUUUCCUGGCUUCUAUACAUCAUCAUCUCUGCCUGAUUGGUUUGCCAUGGCUCUUUGAAACAGUUACUCUUGUCCUCAUUGUAGAGAUGGCGAUACUAAGGCAGAAUAUGGCUAGCCUGGACUUCUUUUUGUGGAGACUGGAUUCCAAGAUUGAAAGUAGAAGCUACAUGUUUUCUCCAAGCAGGGCUUUCAGACUUCACUUCUGCAACAUUUUAUUGAUGAAAGCAAGUCACAAGACCAGACUGAUUCAAGGGGUGGAGAAAUAGACCCUACUUCUUGAUGGAGGGAGGAGUAGAGUUACAUUGCAAAGGGAUCUGGACAAAAAAAGGAGUGAUUUAUUAGGAAUCAUGUUUAACAAUUUACCACAAUCCCCAGCGCAACUGCCUGUUAGCUGGAUCCAGAAAUGUCUACGACUACUGCAAUGCCACUUGGCCUUAGGGGUGAUGUGACCCAGUGUAAAGAGAUGGUGGUCUUAACCAAUCACAGUUAAGAUAGUUUAGUUUUGGAAGGUAUAAAAAAUAUGUAACAACAUGAAUGCACUUUUAGGGUCAGACAAGAGACUUGGAAAGAGCCUGCAAAAUGGAGGAGCCCUGAGGCCUAAGUCUCAUGAGUGUCAAUGCUUACCUGUAUCUAGACACUGGCAUCCCCCUUUUGAUAAGGCCAAGAUUGAUUGUUUUCCUUUUCUACCUACCCUAUAUCUAAUCCAUGUACAAACACUGUUGACACACAAAAGAACCCUAAAUUCAACAAUCUGUGAAGAAUUUUUGCACUAACAUGUUAGUUCAAAAACUCAACAUUGCUUGCUAAGACUAUUGCAAUAAACUCCUCUAUGAUCCCCUAAUUUGAUUCUUGCUCCUCUUAUUUUUUACACAGUCAUCAGAGUAAAUCUUUUCAAAGGUAAAUUGGAUUUUAUGACUUUU